rnacentral:rRNA from 1 species
UACGUAGGGUGCGAGCGUUGUCCGGAAUUAUUGGGCGUAAAGAGCUCGUAGGCGGUCUGUCGCGUCGAUCGUGAAAACUUGGGGCUUAACCCUGAGCUUGCGGUCGAUACGGGCAUGACUGGAGUUCGGCAGGGGAGACUGGAAUUCCUGGUGUAGCGGUGAAAUGCGCAGAUAUCGGGAGGAACACCAGUAGCGAAGGCGGCUCGCUGGGCCACACCUGACGCUGAGACGCGAAAGCUAGGGGAGCGAACAGG